CCUUUGAUAGCUUAGCUGGUAGAGCGGAGGACUAUAGAUCCUUAGGUCGCCGGUUCUAUUCUGGCUUGAAGGA